rnacentral:rRNA from 1 species
CUGUAUGAAGUUGGAAUCGCUAGUAAUCGCGGAUCAGCAUGCCGCGGUGAAUACGUUCCCGGGCCUUGUACACACCGCCCGUCACACCAUGAGAGUCGGGAACACCCGAAGUCCGUAGCCUAACCGCAAGGGGGGCGCGGCCGAAGGUGGGUUCGAUAAUUGGGGUGAAGUCGUAACAAGGUAGC